UAAUACGUAGGGGGCGAGCGUUGUCCGGAAUCAUUGGGCGUAAAGCGCGCGCAGGCGGCCCUUUAAGUCUGAUGUGAAAGCCCACGGCUCAACCGUGGAGGGUCAUUGGAAACUGGGGGGCUUGAGUGCAGGAGAGGAGAGCGGAAUUCCUGGUGUAGCGGUGAAAUGCGUAGAGAUCAGGAGGAACACCGAUGGCGAAGGCAGCUCUCUGGCCUGUAACUGACGCUGAGGCGCGAAAGCGUGGGGAGCAAACAGGAUUAGAUACCCUGGUAGUCCACGCCGUAAACGAUGAGUGCUAGGUGUUAGGGGUGUAAAUACCCUUAGUGCCGAAGUUAACACAGUAAGCACUCCGCCUGGGGAGUACGGCCGCAAGGCUGAA
rnacentral:rRNA from 1 species